AUGGAUUUACUAUCAGUCCAGUUUGUACUUCAUUUCAUCUGAGAAGAAGAGCUGGACUGAGAGCAGAAGAUACUGUAGAGAGAGAGAAGCAGAUCUGAUCAUCAUUAACAACAAAGAGGAACAAUAUUUUAUUCAGAAGAAUUAUGUUACUUAUGACUUACUCUGGAUUGGGCUGACUGACAGUGAUGUAGAGGGCAGAUGGAAAUGGGUUGAUGGCAGCACCCUAAACACUAGCUUCUGGGGGUCUGGAGAACCCAAUGGAGGUAAAGGAGAGAACUGUGCUUUGUCUUCUUCAUCAUGGUCGGCUGAUUACCCCUGUACUGAUGCUUUUAAAUGGAUUUGUGAGAAAGCACAGUAGCAAGUUUCUUUAGACAUUUGUUUUAAUGUAGUUCUAAAUGUAGGUUCUAAACAUUCAGGCCUGACAAUCAUCAUUAUGAACAUAUAUAAGGCAGCCUUCAGGCCUCUGCAUCCAGUUGCAAUUCUUCCGGCAUCCUAGUGAAGUGAACCAGUAAUUUGUGAAGAACACACGUCAUGGAUUCUCCAGGCUCCACCUUUGCUCCAACACCACAUUCACCAUCACUUAAUGGCGCUUUUCCAUUGCAUAGUACCCCAAGGUUUGGUUUAGUUUGGGUCGGGUCAGCUUACUUUUGGGAGCUUUUCCAUUGGGUGCAGUACGUAGUACCCGAUACUUUUUUUCGUACCACCUCGGUUGGGGUUCCAAGCGACCCGAGCUGAUACCAAACGUGACGCGAAAACACCGUAGAUCACUGAUUGGUCUGAGAGAAGCGUCAUCGCUAUAAUGUAAAUAUUAGCUUUAGCUUACUGCUAGCUUGCGCUGUCUCAAGCAAACAUGUUGUUAUCUGUGUUCUGCUAUAAGUUUCCAAACACCCUUUUAGUGAUGAAAAACAUCCACAGGUUGAGAAUCCGGGACACCAUAACAGUUUUUUCCAGACUUGCAGUUUGUGGCGGCACAUUCGCACGUGCACGUCCGCAUUAUAUAUGCUUAAAUGCAACUUGAAUGAGGCUCAGCGGAGCGCCGUCGACUGAUGCCACGGGUCGGGUGUUUGAACAGAAACUGUCAUGUGAGACAGAGGUAGUUAUAAACGCGAUGUGCAAACAUCAAUUUGUGGUGGCCAAUUUUAAUUUUGUGGCAGUAUGGGAAUGUACAACAACGCUCUCACGUGUAUGAUGUCACAACAGUAGGCAGCGUAAAUAUAACGACAUGCCUAUAAUCCCUCCCACUCCGAAGUGAUACUAAACUCGAUAGAAAAGCUAACCACGCCAAAGUGAGGUGAGCUGACCCGACCGAAACUAAACUAAACCGUGGGGUACUAUGCAAUGGAAAAGCACCAUUAGUUUGAAUGACUGGCACCUUCCCCUCAUCAGCUCAUCUCAUCUCUACCGUAUAUAAGGACACACCUCAGAUGCACUCUUACAGUAUCUUGCUUUGGUUCAUGGACUCUGUGCCUGUUGGAUUACACUUGUCUCCCUGAAAGUCCUACCUAGUACUCGUCUAUCAUGUCCGUGCUCCAUCUUGGUUACUCAUUUGAAUGGUUACCACCAUACUUGCCAAGUGAUCUCCUGUCAGCUGCAACUGGGGUGUGUAGUCCUGUCCAUUGCCAUUACCCUUGCUGUCACUGCCUGCAAAGAUAAGAGACUGUAUAUUAUAUAUUAUUGUCAGUAUUAUCUGCUCUACUGUGCGUGUGUGUGCAUGCGUGUGUGUUCAAAUGUUUACUUUUAACUCUUUCGCCGCCACUGACGAGAUAUCUCGUCAAUCAAGAGAAAACGCUUCCCUGCCAAUGACGAGUAUUUCCGGCUUUCAGCAAUACCGCAAUACCCUUCCGCAACUUUUUAAACCUGGAAGUAUUGCCCUAUGGCAAGCGGAUGCAUGUCCGUGUCUGUUUUAAAGAUCGCUCUGAAUGGGAUCUCUAUGAAAAGUCCAUCACAAAAAUGGAAUUAUCUCUGCUUUUUGCUCAAAAUGUGGUGUUUUUGCAGAAACCUACCCAUAUUCAAAAGCUGAUUACAAAAGAACUACUGAAGGUACACUGUUAGAUGUCGCUGUAGAUUUAGCAGUACAUUACUGUAAAAAUCCACAGUACUAUACUGUAUGUGUACAUUACAGUACAGUACUGCAGUUCAUAAUGCAUUCUGGGUAAAUUUGUUUGAGCGGGAAAAUUUUACAGUAUAUUUUGGUCUUGAUGUAACCUUGCUGUAGCCAUUGCUGUAAUGUGCCAGGUGUACUUGCAAUAAUCAGAGAAAGUGCGCCAACGUCAAAUCACACAGAGGGAGGGAGAGCACAACUCCUGGCUGCAGCUGAAGGAGGACGAUUGAUUUCUGGCAGUUCGUCUUACCAUUGCUUGUAAGCUGGAUUGGGUAAGAUGGAUCAUCUUUAAAGGCACCAGGAGUUAAGGCAGAUGUGGAGGCACAACGGGUGAUACCAGACACACACCAAGCACAUUAUGUUCGGACAUUCAAUCAUGACAGGAUCCAGGUGGAUGCUGUCCAUUGAGGAAAGAGUUUGUUCAGCGGUUUCUGGAUAGAAUUAAUUCCAAAGAUGGGAAAAAGUGCACAUCCAGACAAGGAGCAAGCAAAAAGACAAGGAACUUGGUGCAGAGAAAAGCUGUGGCCAUUAACCCCUGUGAACAGCUUCAUGCAGUCGCUGAUUGAGUUCGAAUGGACGACUUCAAAGUAAAGGCCACUGUGGUCUGUCUGCCACAGUUUAAUUUUUAAUUUAUUUUUAGUGUUCAAUGAAAUUCAAGUAGAAUAUUUAAAACUAUGGGCCAGUGUUGUUUUUACCACGGUGAAAUGUUACCUUUUAGUCGAUGAUGGACUUUAAACUGAAAACUUCAAACUAUGGAACAGUGUUCUAUUUGCCAGAGUUAAAUAUGUUACAGCAGGGGUCUCCAAACUUGUUUAUACUUGUUGAUUUUAUUUUAUGUUACUUGAUUAUAUGUUUA